rnacentral:lncRNA from 1 species
GGACAUCCCAUUUUCUUCCUUUCAUACUUACACCAACUAAGACCUUUAUCUCCAAAACCCUCAAUUCUACUAUAACUAUGGCUCCAUGUCUCCUCUGGCUCCAUGCCUCCUCUAUAAACCAUCGAUCAUUAUUCUUGACUCAUCUCACACGUUACUAUCUCUCACAUAUCCCACCUCACGACCAAUCACUUUACAUUCUCCUCCAACCAUUAACAUAUGAUGGAACCUUUACAACUGAGAAUAUCUUCUUCUCCUCCAUGUUUUCUUCCUCUCCAAAAGUCACAUAACGCAUCCAUUUCAUUUUGGC